UACAGAGGGGGCAAGCGUUGUCCGGAAUUAUUGGGCGUAAAGCGCGCGCAGGCGGUUUUUUAAGUCUGGUGUUUAAGCCCGGGGCUCAACCCCGGUUCGCAUCGGAAACUGGAAGACUUGAGUGCAGGAGAGGAAAGUGGAAUUCCACGUGUAGCGGUGAAAUGCGUAGAGAUGUGGAGGAACACCAGUGGCGAAGGCGACUUUCUGGACUGUAACUGACGCUGAGGCGCGAAAGCGUGGGGAGCAAACAGG
rnacentral:rRNA from 1 species